rnacentral:lncRNA from 1 species
UUAAGUACUCUAAUUAUCCUUUUCUGCUAAUAGAAGUGGUUUCUUUUAUUGUUUUAUGCUAUUUCAUCAAACUUACCUUUUCAUUACUUUUGAACAAACUAUAGCACACAGUCUACCAUCUGUUAUGAUAUUUUUCUUAGACACAACCUCCCCCCUCCUUUUUUUUUUUUCCUUUAACAUUUGCUAAUUGCACAUACUUUCUGCUAGGGAUCUUGCAUGAUUUAAUGUAUCUGUUUCAAGUCUAAGAAAAAGGGCUCAGUUUGAUACUCCCUCCCUCCAGUUCUCUCCUCUUUCCUCUCUCUCUUCCUCUUUCUCCUCAUCUCUCUACAUAGUUUAGAAACUAUGAAUCUUUGUGGUUUCUAGAGGGAGAGGCCAUUACAUUUCUCAGCCUUUUGCAGCUUUCAAGGCAGUUCUGUUUGUAAGAGACAUAGGAAGUUGUAACUAACAAACGUACACAAAUGUGUCUGGAUACAAGAUGCAGCCACUGAAAGCAGUUUGCAGUAUAAAUUUAGAGUUAUUCACAGUUUACCUGAAGCUUAUAAAUGACAGCAGAGAAAUGAGAAAUUUGGUCAUUUUUGUUGCUGAUAAUCUAACUGCUACUGAGAACUAAUGCCAGUUUUAUUAUUCUUUAUUGCAUAUUCCAGCAGAUCAUGUUAUGUACUUAGAUGCCAGUGAAAUAUGUGUUAACUCCCAUAUCUGUUUUGCAAAGUAUAAUUUAUCAUCCUCUUUUUACAGAUGGGAAAAUUGAAGCAUGGAGAGCAGAUGACAAAUGAUCCCCUCACUACCAAGAAAAGAACCAACAACAUUUCAAGUCAUGACCGUGUUUCCACCUUGACAUACAUUGAUAGGUACUGCAUGAAGAGGUCCAAGCCAGAAGCUUGGCUGCUUUGUGCUUAUAAUGUGUUUUCCCUGGAAAAACAGAGAGGCACCUUAAAGGACAGUAGGACCCACUGGGCCAAAGACAUGACACAGUGUGGACUGUUGUGGCUUCUCCCAAGCUUUUGUGGCACACUUCUUCAAGUUCAGCUGACAGAUGAAGCAAAGAGUAUAGUGAACAAAGUUUGCACCAACCAGGUUGCAGAGCAGCUCUGGCACUGGCUGACACUGGCAACUGAAGUGUGUUCACCUCAGAGGCCUGCAAAGUCAGAGGUUAUGUGA